GAGUUUGAUCCUGGCUCAGAUUGAACGCUGGCGGCAGGCCUAACACAUGCAAGUCGAACGGUAACAGGAAGCAGCUUGCUGCUUCGCUGACAAGUGGCGGACGGGUGAGUAAUGUCUGGGAAACUGCCUGAUGGAGGGGGAUAACUACUGGAAACGGUAGCUAAUACCGCAUAACGUCGCAAGACCAAAGAGGGGGACCUUCGGGCCUCUUGCCAUCGGAUGUGCCCAGAUGGGAUUAGCUAGUAGGUGGGGUAACGGCUCACCUAGGCGACGAUCCCUAGCUGGUCUGAGAGGAUGACCAGCCACACUGGAACUGAGACACGGUCCAGACUCCUACGGGAGGCAGCAGUGGGGAAUAUUGCACAAUGGGGGGAACCCUGAUGCAGCCAUGCCGCGUGAAUGAAGAAGGCCUUCGGGUUGUAAAGUUCUUUCGGUGAUGAGGAAGGCGAUAGGGUUAAUACCCCUGUCGAUUGACGUUAGUCACAGAAGAAGCACCGGCUAACUCCGUGCCAGCAGCCGCGGUAAUACGGAGGGUGCGAGCGUUAAUCGGAAUGACUGGGCGUAAAGGGCACGCAGGCGGU
rnacentral:rRNA from 1 species